rnacentral:misc_RNA from 1 species
GAUGAAGAACGUAGUGAAAUGCGAUAAGUAAUGCGAAUUGCAGAAUUCCGUGAGUCAUCGAAUCUUUGAACGCACAUUGCGCCCUCUGGUAUUCCGGAGGGCAUGCCUGUCUGAGCGUCAUUGUCAACCCUCAAGCUCAGCUUGCUGUUGGGUCCCCGUCGUUGCUUUAACGGCGGACCCGAAAGGUAAUGGCAGAGUCCGUGAGACCCUAGACGCAGCGAGCUUCUAGCACGCGUCUGGACGUUUUUCGGGCUCGGUCUUAAACUAGAUGAUAACUUCCGAUUGACCUCAGAUCAGGUAGGGAUACCCGCUGAACUUAAGCAUAUAAUAAGCGGAGGA